rnacentral:rRNA from 1 species
AUUGAACGCUGGCGGCAGGCCUAACACAUGCAAGUCGAGCGGAUGAAGGGAGCUUGCUCCUGGAUUCAGCGGCGGACGGGUGAGUAAUGCCUAGGAAUCUGCCUGGUAGUGGGGGAUAACGUCCGGAAACGGGCGCUAAUACCGCAUACGUCCUGAGGGAGAAAGUGGGGGAUCUUCGGACCUCACGCUAUCAGAUGAGCCUAGGUCGGAUUAGCUAGUUGGUGGGGUAAAGGCCUACCAAGGCGACGAUCCGUAACUGGUCUGAGAGGAUGAUCAGUCACACUGGAACUGAGACACGGUCCAGACUCCUACGGGAGGCAGCAGUGGAGAAUAUUGGACUAUGGGCGAAAGCCUGAUCCAGCCAUGCCGCGUGUGUGAAGAAGGUCUUCGGAUUGUAAAGCACUUUAAGUUGGGAGGAAGGGCAGUAAGUUAAUACCUUGCUGUUUUGACGUUACCAACAGAAUAAGCACCGGCUAACUUCGUG